rnacentral:rRNA from 1 species
CCUACGGGAGGCAGCAGUGAGGAAUAUUGGUCAAUGGGCGCGAGCCUGAACCAGCCAAGUAGCGUGAAGGAAGACGGCCCUACGGUUUGUAACCUUCUUUUAUGGGGGAGUAAAAUGAGCCACGCGUGCCGUUUUGUAUGUACCUAAUGAAUAAGCAUCGGCUAACUCCGUGCCAGCAGCCGCGGUAAUACGGAGGAUCCGAGCGUUAUCCGGAUUUGUUGGGUUUAAAGGGGGCGUAGACGGGAAGUUAAGGCAGUUGUGAAAGUUUGCGGCUCAAACGUAAAAUUGCAAUUGAAACUGGCAGUCUUGAGUACAGGAGAGGUAGGCGGAAUUCCUAGUGUAGCGGUGAAAUGCGUAGAUAUUAGGAAGAACACCAGUGGCGAAGGCGGCUUACUAGACUGUAACUGACACUGAGGCGCGAAAGCGUGGGUAGCAAACAGGAUUAGAUACCCGUGUAGUC